rnacentral:rRNA from 1 species
CCUACGGGUGGCAGCAGUGGGGAAUAUUGCACAAUGGGGGAAACCCUGAUCCAGCGACGCCGCGUGAGUGAAGAAGUAACUCGUUAUUUUAAGCUCUAUCAGCAGGGAAGAAAAUGACGGUACCUGUGUAAUAAGCCCCGGCUAACUACGUGCCAGCGGCCGCGGGAAUACGUAGGGGGCGAGCGUUAUCCGGAUUUUUUGGGUUUUAAGGGUGCGUAGGAUGUGAGGUAAGUCAGCGGUGAAAUGCCCCCGCUCAACGGGGUGAAGUGCCAUUGAUACUGCCUUGCUUGAAUGCGCGUGCCGUAGGAGGAAUGUGUGGUGUAGCGGUGAAAUGCAUAGAUAUCACGCAGAACACCGAUUGCGAAGGCAUCUCACG